GUGCCAGCCGCCGCGGUAAGACGAACCGUGCGAACGUUAUUCGGAAUCACUGGGCUUAAAGCGCGUGUAGGCGGAUGGGAACGUCGGUGACUGAAAGCCCCCGGCUCAACCGGGGAAGUGGAGCCGAAACGACCUGUCUGGAGGGACGUAGGGGGACCUGGAACUUCCGGUGGAGCGGUGAAAUGCGUUGAGAUCGGAAGGAACGCCCGUGGCGAAAGCGAGGUCCUGGACGUCUGCUGACGCUGAGACGCGAAAGCUAGGGGAGCAAACGGGAUUAGAUACCCGAGUAGUCC
rnacentral:rRNA from 1 species